rnacentral:lncRNA from 1 species
CAAAGGUGACCAAGAGUUGGGGGGAAAAGACGAAUGGAAAUAAGCAGCUAAUCAUGAACAGAUUCUCCGCUCUCUGGAAAAAUCACAGAAAACAAGAAAGAAAAAUAAAACCAUCACAAAUUCCUAAUUUAAUCUUGACAUGGAAGUACUUUAAAACACAAACAAGGUUCAAGAGUAAACAAAGGCUCCAGCACAGUGGCUCACACCUCUAAUCCCAGCCCUUUGGGAGGCUGAGGUGGACGGAUCACUUAAAGACAAAAAUUCAAGACCAGCCUGUGCAACAUGGCAAAACCCUGUAAAAAUACAAAAAUUAGCCAGGCAUGGUGGCACGUGCGUCGUGGCACAUGCCUGUAGUCCCAGCUAUUCGGGAGGCUGACGCAGAAGAAUCACCUGAACCUGGGAGGCAGAGGUUGCAGUUCACACCACUGUUCUCCAGCCUGUGCAACAGAGCAAGAUUCUAUCUUAACAACAACAACAACGAAAAGCAAACAAAGGGCAGGUACAAUGAAAAACAUGAAGAGCAAAUGCCAUGGGUGCAGCAUUCAGAAAGCUGGAGAAAUAAACCUUCAAAGGAUACGGUACAUAUUAUAAUGAUGAACUCCUCAUUUAUCACAAGCAUCAUUCUGCAACAAGUGUCAAAAUGGAACAUGGACAAUAAUCCAAGCCUCAUUGUCCAAUAUUUCCAAAAAAAUCUUCAAAUAGAUUUCAA